rnacentral:rRNA from 1 species
UACGGAAGGCAGCAGUGGGGAAUAUUGCACAAUGGGCGAAAGCCUGAUGCAGCUAUGCCGCGUGUAUGAAGAAGGCCUUAGGGUUGUAAAGUACUUUCAUCGGGGAGGAAAAAACAAAACUAAUAAUUUUAUUUCUUGACGUUACCCGAAAAAGAAGCACCGGCUAACUCCGUGCCAGCAGCCGCGGUAAUACGGAGGGUGCUAGCGUUAAUCAGAAUUACUGGGCGUAAAGAGCACGUAGGUGGUUUUUUUAAAGUCAGAUGUGAAUCCCUGGGCUUAACCUAGGAACUGCAUUUUGAAACUGAAAUACUAGAGUAUCGUAGAGGGAGGUAGAAUUCUAGGUGUAGCGGUGAAAUGCGUAGAUAUCUGGAGGAAUACCUGUGGCGAAAGCGGCCUCCUAAACGAAUACUGACACUGAGGUGCGAAAGCGUGGGGAGCAAACAGGGAUUAGAUCC